rnacentral:lncRNA from 1 species
UAACCUAUUUUCCACAGUAAAAGACAAAUGGAGAAAAUUCAUCAUUUUUCUGCUCUUUGUAAAUGAAUGCAGAGUCUGGCCUGGUGCAGUGGCUCAUGCCUGUAUUCCCAGCACUUUGGCAGGCGGAGGCAGGCGGAUCACGAGGUCAGGAGAUUGAGACCAUCCUGGCUAACACGGUGAAACCUCGUCUCUACUAAAAACACAAAAAAAUAGCCGGGCGUGGUGGCAGGCGCCUGAGAGAACUGAGUUCAGGAGAGAAGGAUGUCCUGUUUCAUAUGGUGAGUGAAAAUAUAAACAGUAUGAGGUGGUAGUGUGUAGACAAAAUUAUCAGGAUUUUUUUUUUUUAAGAGUAGCACAUAGUUUCCUAAUUGAUUUUGGAGACUAGGGUUUUAAGAGAUGUACUGAAACUUGAAGUUUAAUGUUAAAAGAGGGAAACCAUACUCUUUUACACCUUGUCUGCUUGGUGCUUCUGUGAGUUGAGCAAGAAUUGGAAGUGGAAUGUACUGUA